UGGAUGAAGACAGAGAAGUGGAGUUUGAUACUAGCAUGUAUCAUUUUAGUGAGCAUGUACCUCCAGCGAGGGAGAGCAAGAGUAUGAGUGAAGCUCACAGGAACAACAGCAAGCUGCAGAAGUGGUGCAAGAAACAGGAUAAGUUACUCGCCAAGUGCUUCAAGACUAUCAAGUUUUUGAUAUAUAAGGUGAGCUACAGCUAUAUAAGUUUUUGAUAUAUAAGUUGCUCACAGGCAGUUAUUCCACUACAGCUAUUCCA
rnacentral:pre_miRNA from 1 species